rnacentral:rRNA from 1 species
AUUGAACGCUGGCGGCAUGCCUUACACAUGCAAGUCGAACGGUAACAGGUUAAGCUGACGAGUGGCGAACGGGUGAGUAAUGUAUCGGAACGUGCCCAGUCGUGGGGGGACAACGUAGCGAAAGCUACGCUAAUACCGCAUACGAUCUAUGGAUGAAAGCGGGGGAUCGCAAGACCUCGCGCGAUUGGAGCGGCCGAUAUCAGAUUAGGUAGUUGGUGGGGUAAAGGCCCACCAAGCCGACGAUCUGUAGCUGGUCUGAGAGGACGACCAGCCCACACUGGGACUGAGACACGGCCCAGACCUCCUACGGGAGGCAGCAGUGGGGGAAUUUUGGACAAUGGGCGCAAGCCUGAUCCAGCAAUGCCGCGUGCAGGGAUGAAGGUCCUUCGGGUUGGUAAACU